CCUACGGGAGGCAGCAGUGGGGAAUUUUGGACAAUGGGCGAAAGCCUGAUCCAGCCAUUCCGCGUGCAGGAUGAAGGCCCUCGGGUUGUAAACUGCUUUUGUACAGAACGAAAAGGUUUCUAUUAAUACUAGGAGCUCAUGACGGUACUGUAAGAAUAAGCACCGGCUAACUACGUGCCAGCAGCCGCGGUAAUACGUAGGGUGCAAGCGUUAAUCGGAAUUACUGGGCGUAAAGCGUGCGCAGGCGGUUAUAUAAGUCAGAUGUGAAAUCCCCAGGCUCAACCUGGGAACUGCAUUUGAGACUGUAUAGCUAGAGUACGGUAGAGGGGGAUGGAAUUCCGCGUGUAGCAGUGAAAUGCGUAGAUAUGCGGAGGAACACCGAUGGCGAAGGCAAUCCCCUGGACCUGUACUGACGCUCAUGCACGAAAGCGUGGGGAGCAAACAGGAUUAGAUACCCUGGUAGUCCACGCCCUAAACGAUGUCAACUGGUUGUUGGGUCUUAACUGACUCAGUAACGAAGCUAACGCGUGAAGUUGACCGCCUGGGGAGACGCCGCGAGUAGAACGUAAAGUAAGUAGUAGACGNGNGAGNGACGACGACGACGACGACGGAGGGAGGNGG
rnacentral:rRNA from 1 species